GACCAAGGGACAGGGAGACGAUUCUGGCCUGUGUGUAUCACCAGAAAGUAGUGCCAGCUUCAUGUUGGGAAGUGAAGAGACAGGAUGCCUGGGGCCCUCUCAGCACAGGAGUAGAAGGUCUGUGUUGGAAAAGAGUCUAGUUGAGAGAAAAGAAAGCACUCUUUUCCCAGAUGUCGGCACCUCAGCCACAACUAAACAAGCCUCUUUGUCUGUGGCUGGCAUCUUGUUUGAUGUGAUCCUGUAGUUUUCUGAUGCUCUGUGACCACCAGGGCAUCCUUCUCCUUUCUUGCCCCGCCCUGAGUCAUCUACCAGCUUCCCCCACACAGAGGUUCCAAUCCUCUCAGCUAACAAGUGUGUGACUCCAACCUUAACGAGCAAACAGACAGACUCCAGAGAGGAACAGGAGUAGGACAUUCCUAUACUUCUAUGUUGAGAUGGAUAACCAAAGCUAACCACACCAGCAGAAGGUGAGCAACACAUUAAACAGAGGGGAAAGGAUAAUAAAAUAUCGCCUGCUGUUUAACAAUCGCCGGGUGGAAACAUUCCGGGAACUGUGCAGCUGCCGCACUUGAUGGCUCAUAAAGCCCCUGUAACGUCCGUCAAGGGCCUUUUUUCUUGGUGAGGGGCCAUUUUUUUCCAUGCAGUUAUGAUAGCAUCUGGUUCCUGUCCCUAGAAGUACAGGGAAUCCACAGGCUCGGGCAGUGGCUGCCAGGGGAAGAACUGGGCUGCAGAGGCAUCUGGCUCCUUGGAUGACUUUGGGGGUCACUUCUGACCUAAAGGGCAUUAUCACAAAAAUGCAGAUUAGGAUUCAGUGGGAAGUCACUGUCACCUGUUGUGUGCUAGGAAGGCACUGGGUAGUUUAGCUCGUGUAUCCCCUCUACUGUGAGGUCGCCAUUCUCAUCACUGCAAAAUCAGUGUCCCAGGCUGGGUAAAGGACACAGUUAGGCCACACUGUUAACAAGUGACAGGCUGAGUUCCAAGUGGCGAAUAAGUGUAAACUGCUCGAACUAUGUCACAUCUUGCUGUGUCAUCUUUCUGCGAAGAUGGAGGGUACAUGGCAUAUGGAAAAAAAAAAAGUCUCUGCAUUUGCUUAGCCUACCUGGGUACCUGGGUAGAUGUGUUGAAAAGAGUAUUUUUCCUGAAUAAUAGACAUCAGUGGUGGCAGCCCUAAGCAUGCGCUGGUUUCCAUUGGGUUCCCCAGACCUACACCCAGAAGUAAGGAUGCCUAUGGAAUAAGAAUGUGGUCCCUAGGGUGUGUGAGAACAUUAAAUGGGAAAUAAAAAU
rnacentral:lncRNA from 1 species